GAAAGUGUGUCCUUAUCUCUUCCGCCCCAUCCGUUUUUCUCUCAUUCCCUGCUCCACUCACUCUCCACUACAACUACCUCUCUCCACUCCACUCUCACUCACAGACAAAAACCUUCCUUCCUACAGCACGCACUCACAUUUCUCACUCUUUCAUAUUCCACACUCACGCUCCAUUCUGAGAAAAAAAACUCUCCACUGAUAUUUCACUCCCACUAUAAUACCCUCUCUCUCUCUCUCUCUACGAAGAAAAAAAAAAGCAGAAAACAAAAAGAAAUCUCUCAUCUCACCUUCAUCGCCUCUCGCAACGUCUCCCUCUCAACCCUAAAUCUCUUCACCGUCACCUUCAUUUUCCUCCACCAAACCCUCUCUUCAACCUCCAUCCAUCUUCGAAACCCGUUCUUCUCCACCGUCAAAAUCUCCAAAACCCCAAAUCGCCUCCUUCCUCCCAACGGCGCCUCAACCAUCGCUCACCUUCAAUCUUCAUCGCUUCCGCCAACCCAACUGUCAAAACCCAUCUUUAAAGCCCUAAACCUCUCUCUUUCAAAUCGUGACUCACCAUCAUUCACCACCACCAUCAACCGCCGCCGAUUCCAAAAUACCAUUGACUUUCCGUUACCUACAGCGUUGGGUCCUGGAGCGUAACCAAAGGAUGUCGCGAUUACGGAUUACACCUCCUGGUACGUGUGCCUGCGUUGAGGAUUGACGGGCCAACAAGGUGGAAUUUCGGUCAUAACCUAACAACAACAAACUCAAACAGCGAUAAGGCAAUACCGGCAAGCGCACCAACAACUUGUAGCAGAGGUUCACAUUUCGGUAACAACUUCAAGUUUCUGCUAAUUUAUUGUUGUUUUGUGCUUGUUGCGACAAUUUCAUUUUCAUUUCAUCUACAAUUUUGAUGAAAUCAUAGGUUGAAACUAAUAUGUUGAUUAUGGUUGUGUGUUUAUGAUCAUUUCAAUUUCGGUUGUACAUAUGCUGAUUUGCGGGUCUGGAUCGAAUGUCUGUUUGAGUGUGUGUUUAAAAUGUAAUAUUGUUGAAACUGUGGAUUUAAGUCGGCGUCGUUUUGUUUCUGUCAUUCUGUUUCUGUUGGGUAUGGUUCUUGAAAUAUUGAGCUCUGUGCAUAGGCUGUCAAUUUGGAAUACUGUGGAUUUAAGCUGUUUAGAUUUAAGUUGUUUUGAUUCGGUUUA